GUCUUUCAAAAGUGUCACCAAUUUAAAGGAUGAGCUGAUAAACAUCACAACGAAUGGAUGCUUCUCACAGAAAGUCCAAAUGUCAGCCUGACCCUCACGGAAUGCCAACAGCAGAGAUUACAUUCCUACCUAUGCAUUGUGUCAGAGCCCAUUGGUGUCCUAGGCAGUGUGUACUGAACUCAAGCGGCUCUGAGUACUGCUCUGAAGGAAGAUGAUGGUGUGGAAACAGGAGGAAGAAAUGAUCCCGUUGAAUUACUUUACUCCAGAGAUCUAACAAAUUCCAAUCCAAGGCUAUCAGAGAAAGAAACACUAGGCCUCUUAACACCUGCCACCAGUGAAGAUUCCUGAGGUACCCAACUCCCAGCUCCCUCCUCACAUGUGUAUUGUUGCCUAUAACAAGGUCCAUGAACCAUUCUAAAGAUGCUGCCCACCCUUUAAUAACCUGCAUAACCCUAAAUUGUGCACAGCUGAGCCAGCAGCAGCUAAGGAAACGGGUUCAAAGAAUAGCCAUUCACAGAACAGCCACAAGAUGCAACGCAAGGACCAAAGGGCAUCAGAAGAAUGAAGACUCAGAGAGCGGGAUGCUGGAGAGACCAGAGAAGCUCUUGAGAAAAGAGGAAACUUCAAGAAGGCACUUUUACACGGGACUGAGACAAGUGACCCUGCUUACCUACAGAGGAGGAUGCCUCUCUUUAAUUAGUGGUCUUCGCAGGAGAAUGUUUGAUGCAGAGGAUGACAAAGCAAAGGCAGUAUUUUGACGACCCUCUUCAGUAUCCUGAAGACCUUGGUUCAGUCGACCAAAGAAACAACUUUGAAGAGCUCCAGCUGCCAAGAACUGAAACAAUUUAACAAAGUGACUUGCUAGCUAUCUGAAUUUUACACUGAGCCAGUUCAUGCAUCUAGGACAAAUUCUACUCUAACCUUUUUAAUUCCAUAGAAAAGUAUAUAUCUGAGGAACAUAACGUACUUGUUAAAUGAUAAUAGUAUCAGAAUCACACUUCUGUUCUAAUGCGUGUGAGCCACAGCAAAGCUUUGAAGUAAGUCAGGCAUAAACUUAACUCCUAUGACUUUACAAGUGUCUAACCAAGUUCAAAAUAGUCCAGGUGCUAAUAAUAGUAACUUCUUUGAGGUUUUUUGCAGUGUGGCAAGUGCUUUGAGCAGAAGGUAAGUUUCAUUUAUGAAAUAAUUUCGAGGGCAUUCCACAAAAUGUCAUAAUGAUUAUAUCUACUCAU